rnacentral:rRNA from 1 species
UACGGGGGGAGCAAGCGUUGCUCGGAUUUACUGGGCGUAAAGGGCGCGUAGGCGGUCAGCACAAGUCAGUUGUGAAAUCUCCGGGCUUAACUCGGAAAGGUCAACUGAUACUGUGCGACUAGAGUGCGGAAGGGGCAACUGGAAUUCUUGGUGUAGCGGUGAAAUGCGUAGAUAUCAAGAGGAACACCUGCGGCGAAGGCGGGUUGCUGGGCCGACACUGACGCUGAGGCGCGAAAGCCAGGGGAGCGAACGGG